UACGUAGGGGGCAAGCGUUGUCCGGAAUCAUUGGGCGUAAAGAGCGUGUAGGCGGUUCGGUAAGUCCGCUGUGAAAGUCCAGGGCUCAACCCUGGAAAGCCGGUGGAAACUGUCGAGCUAGAGUCCGGAAGAGGCGAGUGGAAUUCCCGGUGUAGCGGUGAAAUGCGCAGAUAUCGGGAAGAACACCCGUGGCGAAGGCGGCUCUCUGGAACGCAACUGACGCUGAGACGCGAAAGCGUGGGGAGCAAACAGG
rnacentral:rRNA from 1 species